GACGAACGCUGGCGGCGUGGAUUAGGCAUGCAAGUCGAACGGUAGGAUACCUUCGGGUAUCUGAGAGUGGCGAACGGGUGAGUAACACGUAGGUGAUCUACCCUCAAGAUUGGGACAACCCAGGGAAACUUGGGCUAAUACCGGAUGAAAGCAGCAGUGAUGUUGUUUGAAAGGUGGCGUAAGCUGCCGUUUGGGGAUGAGCCUGCGCUCUAUUAGUUAGUUGGCGGGGUAAAGGCCCACCAAGGCGAUGAUAGAUAGGCGGCCUUAACGGGUGGUCGCCCACACUGGGAUUGAGAUGCGGCCCAGACUCCUACGGGAGGCAGCAGUCGAGAAUAGUCUACAAUGGCCGAAAGGCUGAUAGUGCGACGCCGCGUGAACGAAGAAGCCCUUCGGGUGUAAAGUUCUUUUAUAUGUGAGCAGUGCUUUCUAUGUGAACAGCAUGGGGAGAGAGAUAUUAGCAUAUGAAUAAGCAACGGCUAACUCCGUGCCAGC
rnacentral:rRNA from 1 species